rnacentral:lncRNA from 1 species
CAAGUAUACUGAUCACUUGUUCCUCUGUAUAGUAUAUGUUACCUUUCUGUUCACUACUUAUAAAAUAUGCCGUAUGGCAUCUCAACGUAAUAAAUUUAUAUCGUAUGCUACCAUAUUUAUGUUGAAAAGCAUUGUGGAAUAAUUCUUUUGGAAGAUUUUUCAAUUUCACAGGGGGUGAUGGUUUACAGGGCUCAAAAAUCAAAAGUUUUGAUAGAAUUAUUUUCAACAAAGGUUCGUGAUUUAAAAUUAUCCAGAGUAAAAGUUUUUAAGAAUCCUCAUAUGGUUAAUACCACUACAUGAGUAAGCAGCUUCAUAGUCAUUCUGAAGGCCCACUUUCAUUGCGAACAGAGUUUUUGUCAAUUUAACAGACAAUUCUUCAGUUGGAAGUGUGGAUGAACCGGCAAUGUACCGAUGUUUAAGUGGACAUUUGUGACACUAAGGUAUCCAAUCCAAACAAGGCAAGUCCUCCGAAUGUAUUCAUUGAAGCCAUUUAGAAUGAAUGAUUCGCCAAAAUCGCAUCUUUCUCACAUGAUAUGUUUUUGCAUGUUGAAUGCCUGAAUGCACAUUUAUCACUUAUUCUUUUACAAGACAUUCGUAGUAGUACGAUUUACAUACAAAGACUUCGAUGAAACUGUUCGGAGGAAAAACAACAUACUUAUCGUGAAGAGACUAUAUGCAUUACUUCUCGAUUAACCCAGGGUCUGGAGUAAUUUCCAAAUGGAAUCCGUAAUCAUCUUGAAGCUAUGUUUCUAAUUGACGUGAUAAGGUUCUCUAAACCUAGGGCCAUGCGUUAUCAUCUUUCAGAGAUUCUCGUGAUAAAUCAUGUUGAGAUCCCCAGUAAUAACAUGGCCCGAUAAGCUGUAAAUAUAAGGCGCGUCGGAACAGUCGCAUGUCAGAUAAAAGAGGGACGAAAGAUGCCCAAGUUACGGUCAAACUCAUAAAUCUAAUACAAACUGACAACGCCAUGGCUACAAACAAAAAUGACAACAUAGAAAACUAAAGAAUAAACAACUCGAACCCCCCCCCCCCCAAAAAAAAAAUAAAUAAAAAUAAAAUAAAAACUAGGGGUGAUCUCGGGUGCUCCGGAAGGGUAAGCAGAUCCUACUCCACAUGUGGCACCCGUCGUGUUGCUUAUGUGAUAACAAAUCCGGUAAAGUCUAAUUCGGUAGGUGACAUUCAUGAAAGGG